ACUAAUUUCUAUUGCUAGGGCGAAGCCUUGAGCCUUAGCAUGAAUAUGUGAUUUUUAUCUAAUUGCUUAUGAUUGAUUGCAUGCAUACUUUGAAUUGUUAAUCAUCGGGAUAAAAACUAUCUAAUUGUCUUAAUGCCUGAUCACCAUUAGGAUCUUUAGAAAAGUAAUUUGAUGCAAUUUUGGUCGGAAGGUUCCCUGAAAUUGACGCUGACUUCUUGUGAUUAAUAAUUGUAAUUUCACUUA
rnacentral:lncRNA from 1 species